rnacentral:rRNA from 1 species
UACGGAGGGGGCUAGCGUUGUUCGGAAUUACUGGGCGUAAAGCGCACGUAGGCGGCUUUGUAAGUUAGAGGUGAAAGCCCGGGGCUCAACCCCGGAAUUGCCCUUAAGACUGCAUCGCUAGAAUUGUGGAGAGGUAAGUGGAAUUCCGAGUGUAGAGGUGAAAUUCGUAGAUAUUCGGAAGAACACCAGUGGCGAAGGCGACUUACUGGACACAUAUUGACGCUGAGGUGCGAAAGCGUGGGGAGCAAACAGG